GAUGAACGCUGGCGGCGUGCCUAAUACAUGCAAGUCGAGCGAAUGGAUUAAGAGCUUGCUCUUAUGAAGUUAGCGGCGGACGGGUGAGUAACACGUGGGUAACCUGCCCAUAAGACUGGGAUAACUCCGGGAAACCGGGGCUAAUACCGGAUAACAUUUUGAACCGCAUGGUUCGAAAUUGAAAGGCGGCUUCGGCUGUCACUUAUGGAUGGACCCGCGUCGCAUUAGCUAGUUGGUGAGGUAACGGCUCACCAAGGCAACGAUGCGUAGCCGACCUGAGAGGAUGAUCGGCCACACUGGGACUGAGACACGGCCCAGACGCCUACGGGAGGCAGCAGUAGGGAAUCUUCCGCAAUGGACGAAAGUCUGACGGAGCAACGCCGCGUGAGUGAUGAAGGCUUCCGGGUCGUAAAACUCUGUUGUUAGGGAAGAACAAGUGCUAGUUGAAUAAGCUGGCACCUUGACGGUACCUAACCAGAAAGCCACGGCUAACUACGUGCCAGCCGCCGCAGUAA
rnacentral:rRNA from 1 species